CCUACGGGAGGCAGCAGUAAGGAAUCUUCCACAAUGGACGAAAGUCUGAUGGAGCAACGCCGCGUGCAGGAUGAAGGCUUUCGGGUCGUAAACUGCUUUUAUAUGGGAAGAUUAUGACGGUACCAUAUGAAUAAGGACCGGCUAACUACGUGCCAGCAGCCGCGGUAAUACGUAGGGUCCAAGCGAUAUCCGGAAUUACUGGGCGUAAAGCGUGUGUAGGUGGAUUAAUAAGUGUGAUGCGAAAUCCGGCGGCUCAACCGUUUGGACUGUGUCGCAUACUGUUAGUCUAGAGGACGGCAGAGGUAAGUGGAAUUACGGGUGUAGCAGUGAAAUGCGUAGAUAUCCGUAGGAACACCAAUGGCGAAGGCAGCUUACUGGGCCACACCUGACACUGAGACACGAAAGCGUGGGGAGCGAACAGGAUUAGAUACCCUGGUAGUCCACGCCGUAAACGAUGCAUACUAUUAGUAUGGGGUAUCGACCCCCUGUGCUGAGAAGCUAACGCGAUAAGUAUGCCGCCUGGGGAGUACGAGCGCAAGCUAAACUCAAAGGAAUUGACGGNGNGAGAGNGCGAGACGACGACGAGGGAGAGG
rnacentral:rRNA from 1 species